UAAUAGCCCAGAUGGAAGUGGAAAUCUUUUUUUACCUUGUUUCGACUUCGCUCAACUUGACAAGGUAAAAAAAAUUGUAACGGACAGCGGGACUAAAA
rfam:Flavobacteria bacterium BAL38 1101699887720, whole genome shotgun sequence.